GGAGAGGUGGCCGAGCGGUCGAAGGCGCACGAUUGGAAAUCGUGUAUACGGGAAACCGUAUCGAGGGUUCGAAUCCCUCUCUCUCCG
rfam:Alphaproteobacteria bacterium 41-28 SCNpilot_cont_1000_p_scaffold_605, whole genome shotgun sequence.